rnacentral:rRNA from 1 species
AUUGAACGCUGGCGGCAUGCCUUACACAUGCAAGUCGAACGGCAGCACGGGAGCAACUCCGUGGUGGCGAGUGGCGAACGGGUGAGUAAUAUAUCGGAACGUGCCCGGUCGUGGGGGAUAACGUAGCGAAAGCUACGCUAAUACCGCAUACGAUCUACGGAUGAAAGCGGGGGAUCGCAAGACCUCGCGCGAUUGGAGCGGCCGAUAUCAGAUUAGGUAGUUGGUGAGGUAAAGGCUCACCAAGCCGACGAUCUGUAGCUGGUCUGAGAGGACGACCAGCCACACUGGGACUGAGACACGGCCCAGACUCCUACGGGAGGCAGCAGUGGGGAAUUUUGGACAAUGGGCGCAAGCCUGAUCCAGCAAUGCCGCGUGCAGGAUGAAGGCCUUCGGGUUGUAAACUGCUUUUGUACGGAACGAAACGGUGAGCUCUAAUACAGUUUGCUAAUGACGGUACCGUAAGAAUAAGCACCGGCUAACUACGUG